rnacentral:lncRNA from 1 species
UCCACAAAAACCUAAAGAAAUUUUUUUUAGGUUAGAUCCUUGUCCCAGCAACCGUUUAGCCUCGCACAUUCUUUCAAUAAGUGUCUUUGUUGAAUUUGUGUGCCUACUCGUUCAAUUGUUGCUGGUUACUUGUGUUUAAUCUCUUGUUUCUCGUUUUUCCUCUAAACCCUAGUUUUCGCCGCCGCCGCCGUUCCGCUGCUCGCCAACCCUACCACGCCACGCCCACCGCCCCCCUUCG